CCUACGUGUGGCAGCAGUGGGGAAUAUUGGACAAUGGGGGCAACCCUGAUCCAGCCAUGCCGCGUGUGUGAAGAAGGCCCUCGGGUUGUAAAGCACUUUCAGUGAGGAAGAACGCCUGGUGGUUAAUACCCAUCAGGAAAGACAUCACUCACAGAAGAAGCACCGGCUAACUCCGUGCCAGCAGCCGCGGUAAUACGGAGGGUGCGAGCGUUAAUCGGAAUUACUGGGCGUAAAGCGCGCGUAGGUGGCUUGAUAAGCCGGUUGUGAAAGCCCCGGGCUCAACCUGGGAACGGCAUCCGGAACUGUCAAGCUAGAGUGCAGGAGAGGAAGGUAGAAUUCCCGGUGUAGCGGUGAAAUGCGUAGAGAUCGGGAGGAAUACCAGUGGCGAAGGCGGCCUUCUGGACUGACACUGACACUGAGGUGCGAAAGCGUGGGUAGCAAACAGGAUUAGAUACCCGAGUAGUC
rnacentral:rRNA from 1 species